UCGGCAAAUGGGAAGAACUCUGACCGAGCAACGCCGCGUGAACGACGAAGUACUUUGGUAUGUAAAGUUCUUUUAUCAAGGAAGAAAAGCAAGUGGCGAACCAUUUGUUUGCCGGUACUUGAUGAAUAAGCCCCGGCUAAUUAUGUGCCAGCAGCCGCGGUAAGACAUAAGGGGCAAGUGUUAUCCGGAAUUAUUGGGCGUAAAGGGUGCGUAGGCGGUCUAGUAAGUCAGUGGUGUAAUGGCAACGCUCAACGUUGUCCGGCUAUUGAAACUGCUAAACUUGAGUUAGAUAGAGGCGAGUGGAAUUCCAUGUGUAGCGGUAAAAUGCGUAAAUAUAUGGAGGAACACCAGAGGCGUAGGCGGCUCGCUGGGUCUUAACUGACGCUGAGGCACGAAAGCGUGGGGAGCAAACAGGAUUAGAUACCCUGGUAGUCCACGCCGUAAACGAUGAGUACUAAGUGUCGGGUUAAACCGGUACUGAAGUUAACACAUUAAGUACUCCGCCUGAGUAGUACGUACGCAAGUAUGAAACUUAAAGGAAUUGACGGGACUCCGCACAAGCGGUGGAUCAUGUUGUUUAAUUCGAAGAUACCCGAAAAACCUUACCAGGUCUUGACAUGUUUUUGCGAAACGGUAGUAAUAUCGUAGAGGUUAUCAGAAACACAGGUGGUGCAUGGUUGUCGUCAGCUCGUGUCGUGAGAUGUUAGGUUAAGUCCUAAAACGAGCGAAACCCUUAUCGUUAGUUGCCAGCACGUUAUGGUGGGGACUUUAACGAGACUGCCAGUGAUAAACUGGAGGAAGGUGAGGAUCACGUCAAAUCAGCAUGCCCCUUAUGACCUGGGCUACAAACGUGAUACA
rnacentral:rRNA from 2 species